CGGGGGGAGCAAGCGUUGUUCGGAUUUACUGGGCGUAAAGGGCGCGUAGGCGGCCUGUGCAAGUCGGUUGUGAAAUCUCCGGGCUUAACUCGGAACGGUCAACUGAUACUGCUCGGCUAGAGUGCAGAAGGGGCAACUGGAAUUCUUGGUGUAGCGGUGAAAUGCGUAGAUAUCAAGAGGAACACCUGCGGCGAAGGCGGGUUGCUGGGCUGACACUGACGCUGAAGCGCGAAAGCUAGGGGAGCGAACGGGAUUAGAUACCCCGGUAGUCCUAGCCUUAAACGAUGAAUGCUUGGUGUCUGGGGUUAUAAAGUCCCCGGGUGCCGUCGCUAACGCUUUAAGCAUUCCGCCUGGGGAGUACGGUCGCAAGACUG
rnacentral:rRNA from 1 species